rnacentral:RNase_P_RNA from 1 species
GCACUGUCACGGUCUGUCGCUGGUGUCCUUGUGGCACGGGAGGAAAGUCCGGGCAGCGCAGGACGCCCCACUUGUGAAAGUGCAAGCAGUCGGCGACGGCUGGAUAUGGCAGAAGAGAACGACCGCCUUCUUCGGAAGGUAAGGGUGAGAAGGUGGUGUAAGAGACCACCAGGCGGCUGGUGACAGUCGUGCUGUGCCAUCUGGGGGCUGCAAGUUCAUGUAUACCACCGUCUGAGGGCUGUCCGUCCGAGUGACCUGUAGGUACGCGGUGGAGGGUAGAAUGCUAAAGCCGUGGGGUGACUUACGGAUUAGAUAAAUGACAGACGCUGGCACUUGCUGUCAGUACAGAACCCGGCUUACAGGGGCAGUGCUUUC